rnacentral:rRNA from 1 species
ACGUAGGUGGCAAGCGUUAUCCGGAAUUACUGGGCGUAAAGCGCACGCAGGCGGCUGGGUAAGUCUGACGUGAAAGCUCCUGGCUUAACCGGGAGAGGUCGUUGGAGACUGUCCAGCUUGAGGCGAUGAGAGGGGUGCGGAAUUCCCGGUGUAGUGGUGGAAUGCGUAGAUAUCGGGAGGAACACCAGUGGCGAAGGCGGCAUCCUGGACCGGUAUUGACGCUGAGGCGCGAAAGCCAGGGGAGCAAACGGGA